AAAAAGGAGACUGAUUUGCAUUUGAAAAUCAUUCUGCAAACUUCUCUUCAAUCUAUCAAUCAAGUAUUAUCUGGCAAAAACCUGAUUUGCGCAUCUCGCCAUAAUGAAAAUCGGGUUUAUCCUCAUUAUAUCAAAUCUUCUCAUCAAAUAUUUCCUUCUCCCGUUUUCCUCAUCCAGUGACUAAAGCGUUACGCUUGAUAAGGACACCCGUAAAAAUUUAAAAAGGCUCGAAAAUUUCCGAAAACUGUUCAACAAUUUCUCAAAAAUUCUCAAAAACUUUCCCGUUUUUUCGACAAAAGAGUUUCCACCACAAGUCGAAACCACCUGUAUUUCUAACGAUCCGACCUACUUUUAGAUUUCUGCGCCAUAAUGAACGCCGCCUGUUCUGGGACACGGGAGAAACUAACAAGUUGUAUAACAAGACGAGAGAAAUCGAUGACUUGCGUUGAACCGAAGGAUGACAAUUUUGAGCAAACGUGUAACGCCUUUGUGACAAACUGUGCAGUUGAAAAGGAUGGGAUUGCACAGAUCUGCAGGUGUGAAACCACUUUAAUAGGGGACAUAUUUGGUAAUCUUAUGUAAUCCUUUCCGUGCAAAGUAAAUAAAUCUGGACAAAAUAAAUUAAAUUGAGCAAUAUUCUA